rnacentral:lncRNA from 1 species
ACCUUUUAUAAAGCCAUUAAUUUUUAAAGUGGUUUAGGAGUUUGAAUUAGCAGUCUGGUGUGAAUGCCAGCUUCCAAAAACAGAUGGCAAUGGCUUUUCCAAAAGCAACAAUAAGAUCCUGAGAUCAAGACUGGAAUGCAUUUUGGAAGUCCGUUCCAAAGCCCUCAAUAAUGAGUUUAGAACAACAGGUGACACCCAGAGAAGGAAAGAACCUGCCCAGCGAUGCACAGUUGAAUGGAGAUGAGGUAAGGGAAAUUCUGGGUUCUAGGGGACUCUCCACUGUACCCCAGGGGAUCAGAACAUGCCAAGAGGGAGGUCUCCUUUGGAAAGUGCUCAUCUAGUGUCCUAAGGUUGGGGUAGGGUGAGAAAUGGGGGGAAUAAUCACAGAGCCACACACGUGGUACACAAAGAAGGA